rnacentral:rRNA from 1 species
GUGAGGAAUUUUCCGUAAUGGGCGAAAGCCUGACGGAGCAAUGCCGCGUGAAGGAUGAAGGCCUAUGGGUUGUAAACUUCUUUUCUCAGAAAAGAAUUAUGACGGUAUCUGAGGAAUAAGCAUCGGCUAACUCUGUGCCAGCAGCCGCGGUAAGACAGAGGAUGCAAGCGUUAUCCGGAAUGAUUGGGCGUAAAGCGUCUGUAGGUUGUUUAAAAAGUAUUCUGUCAAAGAUUAGGGCUUAACCCUAGAUAGGCAGAAUAAACUUUUAAGCUAGAGUUUGGUAGAGGCAGAGGGAAUUCCCGGUGGAGCGGUGAAAUGCGUAGAUAUCGGGAGGAACACCAAAGGCGAAGGCACUCUGCUGGGCCAAUACUAACACUGAGAGACGAAAGCGAGGGGAGCAAAUGGGAUUAGAAACCCCGGUAGUCC